ACUAAAAUUUUAUUAUAUUUAAUAUAAAAUGGAUAAUAACACACCUCUGGAUAAUUUUAUAAAAGAAUAUAGUUCCCUCAAUCCGCAGUUAGACCGUAUAGAUGUUUUACAAGGCGCUCUUCAAAUCUGGUCAGUUCUAACACAAACCCAGAAGAAUCACUACUAUGUCGUCCCAAAGGAUGCGGAGGUGCCAAAUAACGCAGAGGGCACACAUCGCAGAGGAAAAAAACGUAAAUAUUAUGAAAUGAACUAGGAAAUGCAAUUGCUUGCCAUCUCAUAUAUUGUAAUCCAUAUGCCGUCAAGAAAGAACCAGCUCUCUUUUCCAUCUUACCAACGGUCUAUGAAGAUUUACUUGUAGCCUUUGAUCCAGACCUGUAAAUGUGAAUUAGGUUUUCGGCAGCCCGAAGCUCAAUUGUUAUUCCUUAAUUCAGCUGUGAGCUGUAUUUUAUUUUAAAUUGAAGAUUUCCUCGUACUGUUUUUCAUUGAGACCCUUCAUUAGUUAUUGAAGCCUAAUUAAUACAGCUAGAAAUAUUAUUCAAGCUGUUCGAGUAUGUCAAAUACUUGAAUAUACCAAGCUACAUUAAAUGGUGUUCGAGCAUGUGCUGUUAUACAAAUUAAAUAAUAUCAGUCAUUCAAAGAUUCAAAGUGCUCGAUUCAUAUCUUGGAAUCUGUGAAUACUCAAGCUGCUCUAACAUGGCAAUACCAGAACACUUCAAAUCACAAAUCAGGGGAAUGAAAGGUGCUUAUGUUGAUGCAAACCACAGAAAUCCAAUCUAUAUAUUUUACUAAUAUUGGGAUUCUGACACUGGUCUGAAGGGCAAGUCAAUUUUGUGAUUAUUAAAAAUAUGUUUUUAAAUUUAGAUGUGAAUUUAACUUAUUUGAACAAUCAGCGAGUUCAGCCCUAGACAAGUUAUUUGUAUAAUUCUUUGAUUGCAAACAAAAUCCAAAUCACUUUUUGAGGAAUGAAAUUGCUCUGUACAACACCUUUCUGAGAGCAUAUCACAUUUUUAACUUUGGAUUUAAAGGAGAUUGUGGUAUAUGGGAUGGCUAAGGUGCGCAAGUCUAUUUUGUUUGGAUUUUAAAUAUAUUCUCGCUUAUCUUGAAACUGAAAUGAUGACAAUAUUACAGCAUUCAAAUUUAUUUCAUAUUACUUUAACGAAAAAAAUAAAAAUAAAAAUAAAAUAUUUAAUAAUUUA